CGCUCAUAUGCUUGAGAGAAGAGACUUCAGUACACGUACUUACUGUAGGCUACUGAACAUCUCAGCACGUGAUGCAUUCCUAUCAGUGUUUCCAGACUCACAGAGCUGUUACAUGCUGUUUGUGGACACCUGAACAUCACACCUAAACUGCUGCUACAAAAUUGAAAGCACACACUUGUAUAGGAUGUGUUUGUAUGCUGUAGCAUGACAAUUUCCCUUCACUGGAACUAAUAGGCCAAACAUGUUCCAGCAUGACAGUUCCCUUGUGCACAAAACGAGGUCCAUGAAGACAUGGUUUGCCAAGGUCAGAGUGGAAGAACUUGAAUGGGCUGCACAGAGCCCUGACCUCAACCACAGUGAACACCUUUGAGAUGAAUUGGAACACUGACUUCACCCCCUCACCUGACCUCACCAAUUCAUAGGACGCCAUUCACAAUUGAAAGUCACGCAGAGUUGUGUUUGUGACAUAAAAACAUAUUUCUAAAAAAAAUUUAUUCGUAAAUCUCAUUUUAUUGAUUUGUGAAUUUAAUUCAUUUUUGUGAAACUCCUCACAUAUAUUUGAGGAUCUCAUUCUGUUUAUUUGUGAAUUUGAUUAAUUUUUGUGAAUCUCGCUACAUUUAUUUGUGGCUCGUAAUCUAUGUAUUUGGAAAUAUGAAACAAUUCUAACCCCAUAUUUAUAUGUUAGAUUAGUUUCUGUGUCGUAGAAUAGUCCAGUAAAGAUUUGUCUGUUUUUAAACACACGUCUUAUUGUUUAGAAGGUCCAUUGCCUUGAAUUGUCGCUCUUGCUACAUGCUCUUCAAAUAAUGUUUCACUAUAUUUAGGAUAUUAUUGACGGUGGCCACGGAGGUAAUGUCUAAAAUAUCAUCAUCAAAAAAUUAUCACUGGACAAAUAGCUGAUCAGAAAUUCUACAUUAGCCAAAUUUCCCCUUUCUAGCUGAUCUGCUAGUCUGUCCUGCAUAUUUGGUGGAGAAUACAGGUAGCUCAUUUUAAACAGUUUAUUUCCGUUGCACAUAAUUGUGGAGAAUGAUGAAGAAUUUAACCCAAACAGCCAAUAUUCCCUAAAGUUGCCUGAGGAAAAUAGGAAAUAGAUAAAUGAAUAUACGGGUGCUAAGGUGCUGGAAUUGUUUCAAUAAGGAAAUUGAGCAGUUGAAAAAUAAAAUGAAUUGUCAAAAUUUUUUACAUUAUUAUUAUUAUUAUUAUUAUUAUUAUUAUUAUUAUUAUUAUUAUUAUUAUUAUUAUUUUACUAAUUAGAUCAAUGCCUAUUAAUCACUUUUAAUUUCCAUAUAAAAUCAUGGUCUUCUGAUGUGGUAAAAGCACUGAACAUAUGAUUCCAACCAUUUUUUCUUGGUUUGUGUGCUUAUAUUUUUAAUGGCAUUACUGGGUUUUCAUUCAAAAUAAUCACCUUGACAUUUACUGCUUGAAAUACAAUUAUUUUAUAGUUAACAUUUUCGUAUUUUACAAUAUAGUACAUCUUAAUAAAUGAAAAUGGUUUGACCAUCAGACUCUAAUCAAUAUUUAAUCAAUAUACUACUUCUAGUCUGCAUUUAUUAUAGAUUAUAUGGUGAAAGUACUGCUGGCUACUAGAACAAAGUACUAUUAGUUAACAUAUAAGUUUCAUCUUAAUCUAACGUUUAUUGUGUACAGUAGGCUUACACUUCAAAGAA